rnacentral:lncRNA from 1 species
ACAAUAUAAUGUUCCCAGCUGAGAGUUUGGAAUUUGUUAUUGUACAUUAAUGACUGAGAGAUAAGCAUGUGGCAAGGGGGCCACUUCUUCUUAUUUGUUGACUAGGGGACACAGAACAGUAUUACUGCCGCUGAAUUAUUUUUAACUAAUAUACAUAAAUAUUCAUGGAACACACAUGAAUUAAAUUACAAAGGCAUCUGUUACACCAUGAGGGACUCAGUGCUACAAUGGGCACUUAAUGCUCAAUUGGAAAACAACAUCUAAAAAACCCCUCUCAACCCAAUCCCUCUUCAAGUGGAUAAGAUACUAAAAUUUAUAAUAAAUCCCUGGUGGAGAUCACUGAAAUAUUAAGCAUAAUGAGCUUAUGAAGAAAAAGUGGAUAGGCGGUUAUAGCCUGAAUUUUUGCAAUUUCCUUUACUUUCAUAAACUGGAUACCAGAAAACAACAAAGCACAAAUAUUCUUACUGCAGCUGUUCUUCCUAUUUGAAAUGGCAACACUUGCAAUGGAGGAAAUUGAACUUCAGCUAGAUGGGAUUUGGGUCCUUGAUUGCUUGUCUGGAUACAUCUCCACUUUUCAGUGUGAGGCUCUCUUUUCAGUAAAGAGACUGCAGGCUAUGGGGAUUUCCUCAUCCUUCUGGACUUGUACCUCCUCCCUACUCAUCUGUUGUCUCAGUUCAGGAACUGAGGGUGAGGGUAGUGGCAAUCUUUGCAGGAUACCUUGCCUUUCAACAGCUAUCAUGUGCUGGAAAAUGGAGAAAAGGUGCUGAUCUCCAACAUGUAAGCCAAAGAUCUUCUGGCACAUAGAGUCAUGGAGAGAAACAGCAGCACUCAAAUAAUCUGCUGGAAAUCUCUCUUUCUCCAUGAUUUAAAUGCUCCUCAAGAUGCUUCUGGCCUGGAAAAAAAAGAAAAAAGAAAAAAAAAAAGUAAUAGAAGAAAAUGAAAGAAAAAGAAAAAAAAUAAGGAAAAAAGGAAAAAAAUAAGGAAAAAAAAAAGAAAAAAUAAAAAAAAAAAGAGAAGAAAAGGAAGGAAGAAA